UGCAAGUCGAACGAAGUAGCAAUACUUAGUGGCGAACGGGUGAGUAUAAUGUGGGUAUCUGCCUUUUGGUUUGGAAUAACACGAGGAAACUUGUGCUAAUACCGGAUAAGCCUUUACAGGGAAAGUUUUAACGCCAAAAGAUGAGCCCACACUUGAUUAGCUAGUUGGUAAGGUAAAAGCUUACCAAGGCUACGAUCAAUAGCUGAUCUGAGAGGAUGAUCAGCCACAUUGGGACUGAGACACGGCCCAAACUCCUACGGGAGGCAGCAGUGGGGAAUCUUGCACAAUGGGGGAAACCCUGAUGCAGCGAUGCCGCGUGAGUGAAGAAGGCCUUUGGGUUGUAAAGCUCUUUCGUCGGGGAAGAAAAUGACUGUACCCGAAUAAGAAGGUCCGGCUAACUUCGUGCCAGCAGCCGCGGUAAUACGAAGGGACCUAGCGUAGUUCGGAAUUACUGGGCUUAAAGAGCUCGUAGGUGGUUAGAAAAGUUGGUGGUGAAAUCCCAAGGCUUAACCUUGGAACUGCCAUCAAAACUUUUUAACUAGAGUAUGAUAGAGGUAAGUGGAAUUUCUAGUGUAGAGGUGAAAUUCGUAGAUAUUAGAAAGAACACCGAUUGCGAAGGCAACUUUCUGGAUCAUUACUGACACUGAGGAGCGAAAGCAUGGGUAGCGAAGAGGAUUAGAUACCCUCGUAGUCCAUGCCGUAAACGAUGUGUGCUAGACGUUGGAAAUUUAUUUUCAGUGUCGCAGCAAAAGCGUUAAGCACACCGCCUGGGGGAGUACGACCGCAAGGUUAAAACUCAAAUGAAUUGACGGG
rnacentral:rRNA from 1 species